rnacentral:rRNA from 1 species
CCUACGGGAGGCAGCAGUGAGGAAUAUUGGUCAAUGGUCGGGAGACUGAACCAGCCAAGCCGCGUGAGGGAUGAAGGUACAGAGUAUCGUAAACCUCUUUUGUCAGGGAACAAAGGCGGGGACGUGUCCCCGGCUGAGUGUACCUGAAGAAAAAGCAUCGGCUAACUCCGUGCCAGCAGCCGCGGUAAUACGGAGUAUGCGAGCGUUAUCCGGUUUUAUUGGGGUUAAAGGGUGCGCAGUCGGUCUGUUAAGUCAGCGGUAAAAGCCCGGGGCUCAACCCCGGCCCGCCGUUGAAACUGGCAGUCUCGAGUUGGAGAGAAGUAGGCGGAAUGCGCGGUGUAGCGGUGAAAUGCAUAGAUAUCGCGCAGAACUCCGAUUGCGAAGGCAGCAUGCCGGAUCCACACUGACGCUGAGGCACGAAAGCGUGGGUAUCGAACAGGAUUAGAUACCCUUGUAGUC